rnacentral:rRNA from 1 species
AGGGCACCACCAGGAGCGGAGCCUGCGGCUUAAUUUGACUCAACACGGGAAAACUCACCCGGCCCGGACACUGGAAGGAUUGACAGAUUGAGAGCUCUUUCUUGAUUCAGUGGGUGGUGGUGCAUGGCCGUUCUUAGUUGGUGGAGUGAUUUGUCUGGUUAAUUCCGAUAACGAACGAGACUCUAGCCUAUUAAAUAGAUCGUUGGCUUACAAACGCCGGCGAGACUUCUUGGAGGGACAGGCGGCGAUUCAGCCGCACGAAACAGAGCAAUAACAGGUCUGUGAUGCCCUUAGAUGUCCGGGGCCGCACGCGCGCUACACUGAAGUGAUCAGCGUGCAUUUUGAAACCUACUCUGUCAAGAGUGGGGAACCCAAUGAACCUUCUUCGUGAUUGGGAUAGGGGAUUGUAAUUAUUCCCCUUGAACGAGGAAUUCCCAGUAAGCGCGAAUCAUAAGUUUGCGCUGAUUACGUCCCUGCCCUUUGUACACACCGCCCGUCGCUACUACCGAUUGAAUGUUU